rnacentral:Y_RNA from 1 species
GGCUGGUCUGAAGGUAGUGAGUUAUCUCACUUGAUUGUUUAUUGCCAGUUAUAGAUUGAACUCUUUGUUCUACUACUUUCCCCCUUUCUUACUGCUACACUUGACUAGUCUUAA